UCUUCCCACGCGACCGAGGCGAUGGGGCGAGGCGACCUCGGUGGUGGCUGGUUCUCGGUGCGGCGGCGGCCAGCCUCAUCCUCCUCCACACCCCUCCCUCCUCGCACUGCAAGGGCAGGGCGAUGGCGGCCCUCGCCGGGUCUUGCGCCGGUGCAUCGGUUCGUCGCCCCCGGCCACGUUGCUGAAACCCUACCUGCCACUUGCUGACCCACGCCGCCGCCCCGUCCUUCACCGUCGCCUCCUCUACCCGCCCGGUCCCGGCGGCCGCUCUUCCCCUGGAACUCUCUUCUCUUCCCCACUGUUUCCACUUCUCCUUCCUCUCCCUCCCCCUCCACGUGGGUGAAUCCUAGCAACGGGCGCUUGCCCUAGCACCCGGCAGCUGGCACACCAGAGGUUCGGCGAGGUUCGGCGCCUUGCUGACGCUGGGUCGUACAUGCUAUGCAGCCCACGCUUGGACCGUGCACAAGCACGGGACCCCUGGUGCCGUCAGCUUGCUCCGACCCCUCCUAUUCCUACUCAACGCCUCUCCAGGUUCCAUGCGCUCUCCCAAUUUUGGCUACCACCAGUUUGAGGAUAGAAACCUCACAUAGAUACACAAUUUCAGAGGCUAUUGCUAAAGUAGAUGGUUACAAUGGAGGUUGUUCAAUGGACUAGCUUGUGGGGAUUUUUCAAGAACGAGUAUGAAACAGAGAAGAAUCUGUUGGGAGGAGCUUUAGGUGCCAAAGCUGCGGGAGAUUUGAAGCUUAGCAUCACUGACCAUGAUAUCUCUUGGUUGUCUCCAAGUACUAUGCGAGGAUUACCCUCAGUAGGCUUGCAGAAUCUUCUUUCCCUGAGUUUGUAGGAGGCAGAGAAGCAUCUUUCAGUCAUGGUGAACUAGACCAUUUUAUGUUCCGCCAAUAUGUAACCGGUGUCUAAUCUCCAAGCAUUUCCAAUGUUAUCAAAAGGUUUCCCCUCCUAGGUCAUAGGAUCAGGAUGACAAUAAAUAAAUUAGAAACUGCAUGCUACACUCUACCAACAUGACAAAGGUAAGAGGUUAGCAUUUAGGUUAUUUUUUAGAUGCUUUGUGUUCGUGCCUCUGAGUGACGAUGACAUAAAUAUUGUUGGCUAUAUAAUAUUCUUAUUUGGAAGAUAUAUUUAUCCUACUGCCUGCUAAAAAAAUGUAGAAUGCAACUUUUUCCUUUUCUUGACUUUCUGUUCCAAUGUUUAUAUACAGAAAGUUGAAAGUACUAAAACUUUAGGGUUAUGAAAAUGGCAUACAGUGACAAAAAAACUUGGUUUGCUAAAAUUUAUUAUGUCUUCAAAUAAAUAUUUCUAUUAGGCAGCAACUUCGAUUUGGUGUGUUCCUGUGAGCCAUCCAUGGUGAAGCUGCCCUGUACUUUAGAGAGUAAGGUCUUCAAUAACGAUGCUCUCGUAUUCUCAAAUCUGGAUUCAGUUUAUUAUAUGGCCCUAAUUCUUGUUCCUUCGAUUGAUAUUGUGCUUGCUGAGGGUGCUGCUCGACAAAAUGGUGUGACAUUGGAAAUCUCCUUGGAGGAGAUUAGCUGCACACUGCAUGUAGAAGUAGUCAACUGCUGGUUGCUCAUGGUUGCUCAUUGCAGGAUUCAGGUUAGAUGUUUGACAUCCUGGGUAAGGAAAGAUUAGGAAAGAUUGUAACCUAUUUCUAUGGAACAACAUAAGAUGCAUCAGCAGUGCAAUAUCAUGAAUAGGUAAUGUAUUAUAAGAUUAUGUUGUUGGAGGACAUAUGCUGUAAGCUGCAUGAAUAUAGCAGUUUCUGCUUUUCCUUUUGCCUUAUACCAAUGAAAUUUAGUUGA